rnacentral:rRNA from 1 species
GACAGAGGGUGCAAACGUUGUUCGGAAUUACUGGGCGUAAAGCGAGUGUAGGCGGUCUCAUAAGUCAGGUGUGAAAGCCCUGGGCUCAACCCAGGAAGUGCACUUGAAACUGCGAGGCUAGAGUAUCGGAGAGGUUGGUGGAAUUCUCGGUGUAGAGGUGAAAUUCGUAGAUAUUCGCAAGAACACCAGUGGCGAAGGCGGCUCACUGGCUCGGUACUGACGCUGAGGUGCGAAAGCGUGGGGAGCAAACAGG